rnacentral:rRNA from 1 species
AUGAACGCUAGCUACAGGCUUAACACAUGCAAGUCGAGGGGCAGCAUGAACUUAGCUUGCUAAGUUUGAUGGCGACCGGCGCACGGGUGAGUAACACGUAUCCAACCUGCCGAUGACUCGGGGAUAGCCUUUCGAAAGAAAGAUUAAUACCCGAUGGCAUAGUUCUUCCGCAUGGUAGAACUAUUAAAGAAUUUCGGUCAUCGAUGGGGAUGCGUUCCAUUAGGUUGUUGGCGGGGUAACGGCCCACCAAGCCUUCGAUGGAUAGGGGUUCUGAGAGGAAGGUCCCCCACAUUGGAACUGAGACACGGUCCAAACUCCUACGGGAGGCAGCAGUGAGGAAUAUUGGUCAAUGGACGAGAGUCUGAACCAGCCAAGUAGCGUGAAGGAUGACUGCCCUAUGGGUUGUAAACUUCUUUUAUACGGGAAUAAAGUGAGGCACGUGUGCCUUUUUGUAUGUACCGUAUGAAUAAGGAUCGGCUAACUCCGUGCCAGCAGCCGCGGUAAUACGGAGGAUUCGAGCGUUAUCCGGAUUUAUUGGGUUUAAAGGGAGCGUAGGCGGACGCUUAAGUCAGUUGUGAAAGUUUGCGGCUCAACCGUAAAAUUGCAGUUGAUACUGGGUGUCUUGAGUACAGUAGAGGCAGGCGGAAUUCGUGGUGUAGCGGUGAAAUGCUUAGAUAUCACGAAGAACUCCGAUUGCGAAGGCAGCUUGCUGGACUGUAACUGACGCUGAUGCUCGAAAGUGUGGGUAUCAAACAGGAUUAGAUACCCUGGUAGUCCACACAGUAAACGAUGAAUACUCGCUGUUUGCGAUAUACAGUAAGCGGCCAAGCGAAAGCGUUAAGUAUUCCACCUGGGGAGUACGCCGGCAACGGUGAAACUCAAAGGAAUUGACGGGGGCCCGCACAAGCAGUGGAGUAUGUGGUUUAAUUCGACGCAACGCGAAGAACCUUACCAGGUCUUGACAUCGUAUGCAUAGUGUAGAGAUACACGAAGUCCUUCGGGACAUACAGACAGGUGGUGCAUGGUUGUCGUCAGCUCGUGCCGUGAGGUGUCGGCUUAAGUGCCAUAACGAGCGCAACCCUUAUCGAUAGUUACCAUCAGGUUAUGCUGGGGACUCUGUCGAGACUGCCGUCGUAAGAUGUGAGGAAGGUGGGGAUGACGUCAAAUCAGCACGGCCCUUACGUCCGGGGCUACACACGUGUUACAAUGGGGGGUACAGAAGGCAGCUACACGGCGACGUGAUGCUAAUCCCUAAAGCCUCUCUCAGUUCGGAUUGGAGUCUGCAACCCGACUCCAUGAAGCUGGAUUCGCUAGUAAUCGCGCAUCAGCCACGGCGCGGUGAAUACGUUCCCGGGCCUUGUACACACCGCCCGUCAAGCCAUGAAAGCCGGGGGUACCUGAAGUGCGUAACCGCAAGGAGCGCCCUAGGGUAAAACUGGUGAUUGGGGCU